AUUCCAGCUCCAAUAGCGUAUAUUUAAGUUGUUGCAGUUAAAAAGCUCGUAGUUGGAUUUUGGUUAAGAGGGCGCGGUCGGCCGUUUGGUCUGUACUGCGUUGUCUUGACUUCCUGAUGAGGACAUGCUCUUGGUUAACGCUGAGACAUGGAGUCAUCGUGGUUACUUUGAAAAAAUUAGAGUGUUCAAAGCGGGCUUACGCUUGAAUAUAUUAGCAUGGAAUAACACUAUAGGACUCCUGUCCUAUUUCGUUGGUCUCGGGACGGGAGUAGUGAUUAAGAGGAACAGUCAGGGGCACUCGUAUUCCGCCGAGAGAGGUGAAAUUCUCAGACCAGCGGAAGACGAACCACUGCGAAAGCAUUUGCCAGGGAUGUUUUCAUCA
rnacentral:rRNA from 1 species